rnacentral:rRNA from 1 species
UACGAAGGGGGCUAGCGUUGCUCGGAAUUACUGGGCGUAAAGGGCGCGUAGGCGGACCUGUCAGUCAGGCGUGAAACCCCAGGGCUCAACCCUGGAACUGCGCUUGAUACUGCGGGUCUAGAGUGCCGGAGAGGUUGGUGGAAUUCCCAGUGUAGAGGUGAAAUUCGUAGAUAUUGGGAAGAACACCGGUGGCGAAGGCGGCCAUCUGGACGGCAACUGACGCUGAGGCGCGAAAGCGUGGGGAGCAAACAGG